AACGUAGGAGACAAACGUUAUCCGGAGUUACUGGGCGUAAAGGGCGUGUAGGUGGUUGCGUAAGUCUGGCGUGAAAUUUUUCGGCUUAACCGGGGAAAGGUCGUCGGAUACUGCGUAGCUAGAGGACGGUAGAGGCGUGUGGAAUUCCGGGUGUAGUGGUGAAAUGCGUAGAGAUCCGGAGGAACACCAGUGGCGAAGGCGACACGCUGGGCCGUACCUGACACUGAUGCGCGACAGCAUGGGGAGCAAACAGG
rnacentral:rRNA from 1 species